rnacentral:lncRNA from 1 species
UAAGGCAUCUGCGCUCGGAGCUCCCUGGAUUUCCGGCCGCAGACUCGGUGGGAGGAGCCCCGGAUUACAGCGCCCCCUCCGGGCAAGGGCUGCUGGGGCUUUCCCUCCUCUCCGGCUGUGCCAUAGGUGUCGGGCCUUCGCCGACCCUGGGGGCCCCGCGCUGAGCCAGAGAGGCCUGGAGAGACUUACAUGAACUGAUGCUGAGUGAAAUGAGCAGGACCAGGAGAUCAUUAUAUGCUUCAACAACAAUACUAUAUGAUGACCAGUUCUGAUGGACCUGGCCAUCCUCAGCAGCAAGAUCAACCAAAUCAUUUCCAAUGGAGCAGUAAUGAACUGAAUAAUCAUGCCCUAGAGAAAGAACUCUGGGAGAUGACUAAAAACCAUUACAUUAAAUUCCCAAUCCCUAUAUUUUUGCCCACCUGCAUUUUUGAUUUCCUUCACAAGCUAAUUGUACAAUAUUUCAGAGUCCGAUUCUUUUUGUACAGCAAAAUAAUGUUUUGGUCAUGUAUACUUAUUGUGUAUCUAAGUUUAUUUUAAUAUAUUUAACAUCUACUGGUCAUCCUGCCAUCUGGGGGAGGGGGUGGGGGGUAAGAGGUGAAAAAUUGGAACACGAGGUUUGGCAAUUGUUAAUGCUGUAAAGUUACCCAUGCAUAUAACCUGUAAAUAAAAGGCUAUUAAAUAAAAAAAAUAUUUCUUAAUCAUUCUGCUCAAUCCUGCAACACUAACCCUCCCUCCUAAACAUCAUGAUACAGAUUAGAAGAAAGGCCUAUCUUAGAAAUCAUGAGCCCAGACCUUCCCUACUUAUCAGAAUGUUGGGUGCCUCUCCCCAUUCUGUCAUUGUUCUUCUUGAUCCCAAUUUAUCAGAAUGUCUGGUGCCCCCGCAGAGACACCCUGUCAGAACUAGAUGGAUAGUCCCUUCCCGCUCUCAUUUCCCUAACUCCGCCCCUGCCUCAGUCUACCCCCUGGUAGAGCCAUGUGCAUAUAUAUAUAUAUAUAUAUCAUUGAGAACUCACACUGUUUACUGGAUUCUUGGAGACCAUAGUCUCAUUCAGCCCUGGGGCCAAACCAUGGAUCCAUUUGGGUCCCGGUAAAUCUCUC